UUUCUUUCCACAAACACAGAUCUGUGCCCAGCAGUCCCUUCAGCUCCGGUUGUAAGGUCGAUUGCUGCGGCAGUUCGAUCGUUCUAUGGAGCCAUCAACCUUCACCGGUAACUCAUGAUGUCAAUCAUCCGAUCGACAGAUCUCAGAAUGAUCGGUCACUCACGAAGCCUGAAUUCGCCGCGAGGUUUGAGUUCGGUGGACGAGUGCUCUGAAGGACGUUAAUUCCGUUUCGAUACCGAAUGGCCGUUGGCUGAUGAGGUUUUCGACAAACCUAGCUUCCUACAUGA
rnacentral:sRNA from 1 species